rnacentral:rRNA from 1 species
CCUACGGGAGGCAGCAGUGAGGAAUAUUGGUCAAUGGGCGCGAGCCUGAACCAGCCAAGUAGCGUGAAGGAUGACUGCCCUACGGGUUGUAAACUUCUUUUAUAAAGGAAUAAAGUGAGGCACGUGUGCCUUUUUGUAUGUACUUUAUGAAUAAGGCACGGCUAACUCCGUGCCAGCAGCCGCGGUAAUACGGAGGAUCCGAGCGUUAUCCGUGUUUAUUGGGUUUAAAGGGAUCGUAGGCGGCCUUUUAAGUUAGCGGUGAAAGUCUGUGGCUCAACCAUAGAAUUGCCGUUGAAACUGGGAGGCUUGAGUACAGUUGAGGUAGGCGGAAUUCGUGGUGUAGCGGUGAAAUGCUUAGAUAUCACGAAGAACUCCGAUUGCGAAGGCAGCUUACUAAACUGCCACUGACAUUGAUGCUCGAAAGUGUGGGUAUCAAACAGGAUUAGAUACCCGGGUAGUC